AUUGAACGCUGGCGGCAGGCCUAACACAUGCAAGUCGAGCGGUAGAGAGGUGCUUGCACCUCUUGAGAGCGGCGGACGGGUGAGUAAUGCCUAGGAAUCUGCCUGGUAGUGGGGGAUAACGUCCGGAAACGGACGCUAAUACCGCAUACGUCCUACGGGAGAAAGCAGGGGACCUUCGGGCCUUGCGCUAUCAGAUGAGCCUAGGUCGGAUUAGCUAGUUGGUGAGGUAAUGGCUCACCAAGGCGACGAUCCGGAACUGGUCUGAGAGGAUGAUCAGUCACACUGGAACUGAGACACGGUCCAGACUCCUACGGGAGGCAGCAGUGGGGAAGAUUGGACAAUGGGCGAAAGCCUGAUCCAGCCAUGCCGCGUGUGUGAAGAAGGUCUUCGGAUUGUAAAGCACUUUAAGUUGGGAGGAAGGGUACUUACCUAAUACGUGAGUAUUUUGACGUUACCGACAGAAUAAGCACCGGCUAACUCUGUGCCAGCCGCCGCGGUAAAAC
rnacentral:rRNA from 1 species